GUGCAGCAGGCGAGAAACCUCUGCAAUAGGCGAAAGCUUGACAGGGUUACUCUGAGUGAUUUCCGCUAAGGGAAUCUUUUGGCACCUCUAAAAAUGGUGCAGAAUAAGGGGUGGGCAAGUCUGGUGUCAGCCGCCGCGGUAAUACCAGCACCCCGAGUGGUCGGGACGAUUAUUGGGCCUAAAGCAUCCGUAGCCGGUCCUGCAAGUCUUCCGUUAAAUCCAGCUGCUCAACAGAUGGGCUGCGGGAGAUACUACAGGGCUAGGAGGCGGGAGAGGCAAGCGGUACUUUAUGGGUAGGGGUAAAAUCCGCUGAUCCAUAGAAGACCACCAGUGGCGAAGGCGGCUUGCCAGAACGCGCUCGACGGUGAGGGAUGAAAGCUGGGGGAGCAAACCGGAUUAGAUACCCCGGUAGUCC
rnacentral:rRNA from 1 species